rnacentral:tRNA from 1 species
GGAGAUAGCUUAGUGGUAGAGUGCCUGCCUAGGAUGCAGAAGGUUCUGGGUUCAAUCCCCAGGACCUCCA